rnacentral:lncRNA from 1 species
GUGAUCACCUCAAAUUUACUGCCACUAACAACAUUCCACUGAAGAACUAAAAUGCAUGGAGGACUCCUGAAAUGUCUGCAUUCCAACUCGAGGGAGGUGGAAGAGCGGUCAGGCAACCCCUCACACUGAGAGAAUGGAUUGCAGAACUUGUGGCCAUGUUUUCCCAGUACCUCACCUUCUCCUCCCAUCUCCAAGACUUCUAUGUCAAUUACUUAUAUUGACAUCAGUUUAUUCAAAUCCCUGCUUUUGAGUUUGAAUAAAGAAACUAGGCAAAGGGCAGCACUGGCAGCUGGGGGUCUGAGAGAACUGCCCUUGCAAAUCCCUACUCCAUAUGGCCCCGGCAUGGAGAGGAGAGCACUCCAAGUAUUGCCAUGACGCACAGAGUGAGAUGUGGAGUUUGGCACAGAGUGGACCAGUGAACUCGCAGUCCUGAGGGCACUCACAGCAAAAAUGUAGAAAUACGUAUGUUCAGAAGAUGUAAAAUUUACAGACGUCCGUUAGACUCAAGUGUGUAGUGAAAGAACUGUUGUUUUACUGCUCAAAUCUGAUCUCUAAGUCAGCCUUAGCUCUCCAAAUGGUAGAUGACAUAUUCUAGUCAAUUUAACGUGCUUUCUCACUCCAAAUGAGUAUGGUUUCAGGCAAUUCAGGAUAUAUACUUCAGUCUUUUAAAGGGAAAUAAUCAUUUCACAAUUCUCUCUCCUUUUUCUGCCUCCAUCCUUGGGCUGAUUUCAGUCCCCAGGAAUUGAGCGGAGGGUUGGUUUGUUCUGGUUUGCUUUUGAAAGCACAAAUGGAUUGUACACUGUAACAGUGCAUUGAGCAACCAGGACUCGUGGGUAGUGUUUUUUUUUUUUUUUUUUUUUUUGAGGAAGAUUAGCCCUGAGCUAACUACUGCCACUCCUCCUCUUUUUGCUGAGGAAGCCAAGUCCUGAGCUAACAUCCGUG